CAACUUGAUACUACUUUUUUUUUAACAACAAAAGUGUUUUUUUCCCCAUCUGGUUUCAUUAAAACAUUAAAAGAUACAAAGGUGAAAUACAGAACCGGCGGAACAUUCGGAACAUCCACGGAAGCUAAUGCCCAUAGAGGGAAACAAGAACCCAAACAACCGGGCUACAUACCAACAUCAUGAACUUAAACUAAAUACCUACACUCUUUUUGUGAAACUCAUAAGCAAACACCCAUAAAUAAAAGAACAGACUUAAUAGCCAAUGACUAGCCGGAAUCCUUGCAACAACGCAACACGUAUGACAGCUUCAAACAGAGCAGAACCCUCAUCUGAACCACCUGUUCAUGAUGACAACAGCCACACCUCUUCAACACAAUCAAGACAACAACCAGGAUGAAACAUCACCCACCGGAGCACUUACUCAACCGCACCAUAAGCUGGAAACCCCCAUGCCUCAAUCUCUUUAUAUUGCUUUACCCAAAAGCCACGAGGAAGACAUAGACCAAAAGAAGACCAGAAGAAACACUAUUUCAAAAAGUGGGAGACAGUCUCCUUUGAACCUGAGAGACUAAUAGGAGUUCAGAAACAACCUAUUUCUCAAGGACCAUAACCUCCAAUUGCUCACUACACACGGCCACGUUACUGCAACACCGUUGCUGAACCAAAGACCAACUAAGACAAGUUCAAAACCCAUGAGAUUCAACCCCUUGGCCAGAGGUACACAAACCUGAUGGAGAGACACCAGAAUGGAACUGAGGAGCUCUCACUACCACUUGAAACACAACACUCCGGCCGAAUCUGGAACCCGGAAAAAGCAGAUCUGAAAACUAGAUCAAACCUGCAAAAUCCAGAAACCCAGAUCUACAAAGGAAAUAAAAACAAAUCUGCAAACAGACUACAGAUCUGUCAUCAAAGAGCCUUAACAAAGGUUAAUAAUAGCACACACAUGCCAUCAGGAACCAAAGAGAGAACACACAAGAGGAGAUGCAAGUAUUGAGUAGAAAGGAAAGGCAAUAACUAAAAACUAAAACGAGACAGAUUACUUCGACGGCGACGCCGAGGGCGCGCCACCGCCGGAACCACCACGAUUCAACCGGAGGAGAAAAGAAAACUUAAGAGAGAAGGGAGAGAAAAGAAAACGGAGAAGC
rnacentral:lncRNA from 1 species